GAUAAUGAUCUUCACACAAAUAAUACAUGAACAUCUUGCAAGGAAAGCUUAAUAAUAUCUUUAACAAUCCCUAUCUUCUCUUCUUUCUUUGCCCUUUGAGGGAGUUAGGAAAGGGGUUUGUAGUUAAAUUUUUAGAGGGGUUUCAUGUAGGACAAUCGACAAGCUACUCUUCGAGAUUACCACACCUCCAUUUCUUACUUUAAAGAAGUGUGAGGAAAGAAAUAUUAAGGCAAUCAGAUUGACUAUGAC
rnacentral:lncRNA from 1 species